rnacentral:tRNA from 1 species
UGGGGAAUCGUCUAAUGGUAGGACACCGGACUUUGACUCCGUUUGUCUAGGUUCGAAUCCUAGUUCCCCAA